rnacentral:rRNA from 1 species
GACGUAGGGCGCGAGCGUUGUCCGGAUUUAUUGGGCGUAAAGAGCUCGUAGGCGGUUUGUCGCGUCGAAUGUGAAAACCCGGGGCUCAACCCCGGGCCUGCAUUCGAUACGGGCAGACUAGAGUUCGGUAGGGGAGUCUGGAAUUCCUGGUGUAGCGGUGAAAUGCGCAGAUAUCAGGAGGAACACCGGUGGCGAAGGCGGGACUCUGGGCCGAUACUGACGCUGAGGAGCGAAAGCGUGGGGAGCAAACAGG